UACGAAGGGGGCUAGCGUUGUUCGGAAUCACUGGGCGUAAAGCGCACGUAGGCGGAUCUUUAAGUCAGGGGUGAAAUCCCGAGGCUCAACCUCGGAACUGCCUUUGAUACUGGGGAUCUCGAGUCCGGAAGAGGUAAGUGGAACUGCGAGUGUAGAGGUGAAAUUCGUAGAUAUUCGCAAGAACACCAGUGGCGAAGGCGGCUUACUGGUCCGGAACUGACGCUGAGGUGCGAAAGCGUGGGGAGCAAACAGG
rnacentral:rRNA from 2 species